rnacentral:rRNA from 1 species
GCUAAGGUCCCUAAAUGUAAGUUAAGUGGUAAAGGAUGUGGGAUUGCACAGACAACCAGGAUGUUGGCUUAGAAGCAGCCACUCAUUCAAAGAGUGCGUAAUAGCUCACUGGUCGAGUGAUCCUGCGCCGAAGAUUUCCGGGGCUAAAACUUACUACCGAAGCUACGGCAUCAGUAAUGAUGGGUAGGGGAGCUUCCCAUACGGGUUGAAGCAUGACCGUAAGGACAUGUGGACAGUAUGGGAGUGAGAAUGUUGGCAUGAGUAGCGAGAUGUGGGUGAGAAUCCCACAGGCCGUAAACCCAAGGUUUCCAGGGGAAGGUUCGUCCGCCCUGGGUUAGUCGGGACCUAAGCUGAGGCCGAAAGGCGUAGGUGAUGGACAACAGGUUGAUAUUCCUGUACUACCGAUAACCGUUUGAGAGAAGGGAUGACACAGUAGGAUAAGCUAAGCACACUGUUGGUUAUGUGUGCCCAAGCAUUGAGGCAGUCAAAGUAGGCAAAUCCGCUUUGAUAAUGCUGGGAUGUGAUGGGGAGCGAAAUUUAGUAGCGAAGUAGCUGAUUUCACACUGUCAAGAAAAGUCUCUAUCGAGGUUAAAGGUACCCGUACCGCAAACCGACACAGGUGGGUGAGGAGAGUAUCCUAAGGCCAGCGAGAGAACUGUUGUUAAGGAACUCGGCAAAAUGACCCCGUAACUUAGGGAUAAGGGGUGCCACCAUCAGGUGGCCGCAGAGAAUAGGCCCAAGCGACUGUUUACCAAAAACAUAGGUUUCUGCUAAGUCGCAAGACGAUGUAUAGGAGCUGACGCCUGCCCGGUGCUGGAAGGUUAAGGGGAUCUGUUAGAGCAAUCGAAGCAGUGAACUUAAGCCCCAGUAAACGGCGGCCGUAACUAUAACGGUCCUAAGGUAGCGAAAUUCCUUGUCGGGUAAGUUCCGACCCGCACGAAAGGCGUAACGAUUUGGGCACUGUCUCAACAACAGACUCGGUGAAAUUGUAAUUCCGGUGAAGAUGCCGGAUACCUGCGACAGGACGGAAAGACCCCAUGGAGCUUUACUGUAGCUUGACAUUGGGUCUUGGUACUACAUGUACAGGAUAGGUGGGAGGCUUUGAAACCAGGACGCCAGUUUUGGCGGAGCCAUCCUUGGGAUACCACCCUUGUAGUACUGGGACUCUAACCAUAGGCCAUGAAUCUGGUCUUGGGACACUGUCAGGUGGGCAGUUUGACUGGGGCGGUCGCCUCCCAAAAGGUAACGGAGGCGCUCAAAGGUUCUCUCAGUACGGUCGGAAAUCGUACGUAGAGUGUAAAGGCAAAAGAGAGCUUGAUUGCAAGACAUACAGGUCGAGCAAGGAUGAAAAUCGGACUUAGUGAUCCGGUGGUUCUGCGUGGAAGGGCCAUCGCUCAACGGAUAAAAGCUACCCUGGGGAUAACAGGCUUAUCUCCCCCAAGAGUCCACAUCGACGGGGAGGUUUGGCACCUCGAUGUCGGCUCAUCACAUCCUGGGGCUGUAGUAGGUCCCAAGGGUUGGGCUGUUCGCCCAUUAAAGUGGUACGCGAGCUGGGUUCAGAACGUCGUGAGACAGUUCGGUCCCUAUCCGUCGCAGGCGUAGGAAAUUUGAGAAGACCUGUCCUUAGUACGAGAGGACCGGGAUGGACGUACCUCUGGUGUACCAGUUGUCCUGCCAAGGGCAUGGCUGGGUAGCUAUGUACGGAAUGGAUAAGCGCUGAAAGCAUCUAAGCGCGAAGUCAACUUCAAGAUAAGAUUUCCCACCGCAAGGGUAAGACCCCAGAAAGACUAUCUGGUUGAUAGGUCGAAGGUGUAAGUGCAGCAAUGUAUUUAGCUUAUCGAUACUAAUAGGUCGAGGACUUGACCAA